UCCCACCCCGACAAGAUGUGGGUAGGCAGUGUGUCUGAAUUCCUCUCAAAACAAUUUUUCCAUUUUGCCUUUUGCAAAUGUGCUUUGAAGCCAUUACCAUCACCACAAAACAUACAGAAAUUCCCACACACUUAUAGGCUGACUCCUGGAUGGGAACAGGAAAGGACAGAGUCUCUCUUUAUCUUGGCACAACAUGGCUUCCGAGAGAAGGGUAAGGAGUAAUUUGUGAAUGGGACUGCAUCCAGUAGUUGUCCGUUGCUCCUUUCAUCCAUUCCCACAACACGGAGGCACAAUCAUUCACAAGGUGGAUGUGGUUAGAGAGCAACAUGGAUGCUGAACUUCCCGCAGGUCACAUGGCCAGGAUACAAGACAUGCAGAGAUGAUAGUGAAUUGACGAAUCAGAUAUACUCACACACAUGAGGAUGAUGAUGAAUGCGACGUGAGGAAUGAGGAGACGCAGUAGAUUUUACAGGAAACACUUUUACAGUUUACAGUCUUUAAUCCAAGGAAUCACAGGGGAAUGCACACAAUCCAACAAGUAUGACAUUCAAGGAGCAACAAAGAGUAGCUGACUAGACUGGGGCUUUCAAACUCAGGAUAACGAGGGAACUAAGGCGACACACCUGGAAUCAAAUCAACAAUCAAACUUAUCAGACUGGGGAGAAACUGGGACACGGACACAACAAAACAGUCCAGGGGCAUGACACAUUGUCGACAUCCAAGUAUAAUGAACCAUUUUGACUGAAAGUUGUAUGCCUGGGCUAUUUUUAGUUUGGAUGGCCCAGUGUUUGGGCAGAUCUGUCUCUGUAGAGCUGUUUCAGAUGUACCUGAUUUGCAAUGUUGCCAUUAUUGCUUGUAAUAAAGGCCAGAUUCUGGUACAACUGUUGGGUGAAGCAGAGCACAGUGAGUCAUGAACUGAUGUUUCCACUGAACAUGUCUCUUAGUAUACAUGAGUGUGUGCCUGUAGUUGUAGCACAUGUUUGUAUUUGUAAACGUAUGUAAGCCAUCAUGAGAUGCUUUGCAUUAAGUUUUUUUUUGGCUAGAGAAAGCAGAUCUCUUAUAUGGGCAUUUCUAUGCAGGAAUGUUGCUCUGUUUCUAUUACUAUCAUGUUCCUUCAAUCCCUCUGUGUUGUCAUAUAUGU